rnacentral:pre_miRNA from 1 species
AUCACCUAGGAAUCUUGCUAAAAUGCAGAUUUCUACUCAGCAUGACUAGAGAGAUUCUGCAUUUCUAACAAGAUUUCAGGUGAUAUAGA